rnacentral:misc_RNA from 1 species
GAUGAAGAACGCAGUGAAAUGCGAUAAGUAAUGUGAAUUGCAGAAUUCAGUGAAUCAUCGAAUCUUUGAACGCACAUUGCGCCCGCCAGUAUUCUGGCGGGCAUGCCUGUCUGAGCGUCAUUUCAACCCUCAUGCCCCUAGGGCGUGGUGUUGGGGAUCGGCCAAAGCCCGCGAGGGACGGCCGGCCCCUAAAUCUAGUGGCGGACCCGUCGUGGCCUCCUCUGCGAAGUAGUGAUAUUCCGCAUCGGAGAGCGAUGAGCCCCUGCCGUUAAACCCCCAACUUUCCAAGGUUGACCUCAGAUCAGGUAGGAAUACCCGCUGAACUUAAGCAUAUCAAUAGCGGAGG